GAGACCGGCGGGGGCGAAGUGACCGAAGUACCACAAAAAACCUUACUGCCAUCUUUCAGGUUCUCUGGUGGAGUUCCCUGCUGGCGGGCGGGAUCGAAGAGAAGCUACAGCACCUUGAAAGUGCUGUAGAUGUGUGGACUCCAGAGCUCUCGUUUUCAAUAAGUGGGCAGCAAACAUGUCAAUUGUUGCAAUCCCUGAGCCCGGUACAGAGCCUGACACGUGGUCGGAGCCCCCGAAAAGCUUGACAAAUCAGUAAUUUUACCUGAUCUUUCAAAGAAUGGAGGACAAAACCAAGAACUGAAACCCUUCACCAUGUCACGUUUUGGUGUACGUUGUGUGUGUGCUCCUCCUGGACACUGUAAACUCUUGAAGCUUUUCCUUGUCAAGCGUCAGUUACGAUGAAGGGGAAGCAGCCAUUUCUCUCAGCCCAAGUCAGACAGAAGCUGGAGUGAGGGCAAACUGAACAGGAUGCAGCUUUCGUUCACGACAAUGUGAACAAGACCUGAGCCUGGAUGGUGGAGCAGAUGAGAUGGUGUAUGAAAAAGAACCGAGAAACAAGACGUCUAAAUAACUGAUGAAAAUUUAAUACAUUAAAACCAGAUUAUU